rnacentral:rRNA from 1 species
CAGUCGCCGCGGUAAUACGAAGGGUGCAAGCGUUACUCGGAAUUACAGGGCGUAAAGCGUGCGCAGGCGGUUUUGUAAGUCUGUCGUGAAAUCCCCGGGCUCAACCUGGGAAUGGCGAUGGAGACUGCAAGGCUAGAAUCUGGCAGAGGGGGGUAGAAUUCCACGUGUAGCAGUGAAAUGCGUAGAUAUGUGGAGGAACACCGAUGGCGAAGGCAGCCCCCUGGGCUAAGAUUGACGCUCAUGCACGAAAGCGUGGGGAGCAAACAGGAUUAGAUACCCCUGUAGUCCCUGUCUCUUAUAC